CUCAGAAGGUUCUAGAGUCUCUGACUGGUCAACCUAGAAGACACCUUUCUUCCAAGUUGGACUGAUGGAUCCAUGCUAGAGAGUUUCAGGGUGGGUAAUGACCAGCAGAUGCAGCUCCAGGAAGCUCAGAGCCAAAGCACUUUCCAAAUCUGCUAGACAGGAUCUCCUUCUCCUCUAUAAUGAGAGACUGUCCUAUCCCGGGCCCAGAGCCAAAUGCUGAGAAGACAUACCAAAAGGGAAUCCAGUGCCUGGCCUCUCAAGAAGCCAUGGACAAUGGAGAAGACAGACAGAACAGAGGCGAUCUGUGUAAUCAAGCACAUUGCUGCAGA